CACGGCGGAUUACCGUAACGUCUGCGGGAUGUGGGUGCCCAGGGUGUUCGCCAACCCCCUGCACGUGUGUCGGGACGUGUGGACGCGGUGCGAGGGAGAAGGGGAUGGGUUUUUGGGGCGCAUCAUCACCGUGGAUGCGCCCUCCAACAGCGAGAAUCACUCGGAUGGGGAGGGGCCGCCCCCGAAGUGGAGCAGGAAAGGGGCGGAGGCGUAGAGCUGGCCCUGAAAAUGCGCCCUGGAAGGAGGAGGAGGGACAGGAGCGUGCCCAAAUGACCCCCAAACUGCCCCCCCCAAGGAGAAAACAGGGCACAGUGCCACCUGAAGUGCAGCGGGCUGCUCCUGAGGGCAGGAAACUGGACAAAACGGACCCUGAACUGCUCCUAGGAGCAUCAGGCUGCUCCUAAACUGCAUCAGACUGGACUUAAAUCGCCCCCAAAAGGCCCCAGAACUACUCCCAAGAGUGGGAAAUGGGACAGAACUGCACAAGACUGACGUCAUCUGGGGACAUCAACCCCGAAAACUGCCCCUCAGAAGCAACAAACUGCAGAAAACAGGGCAAAGUUGCCCCAAAAGUACACUGUACUGCUCCAAAAUUUGCUCCCAAGAGCAGAAAACGAGACAAAACUGACCCCAGACUGCUCCUAAGAGCAUCAAACUGCCCCAAAAACUGCCCCCAGAAGCAUCAGACUGCACUGAAUGGGACAGUUCUGCCCCAAAAGUGCAUCCAACUGCUCCAAAAUUGCUCCCAGGAGCAGAAAAUGGGAUGAGCUGCACAAGACUCGUCAUUUGGGGACAUCAACUCUAAAAACUGCCCCUCAGAAGCAUCAAAGUGCAGAAAACAGGGCAAAACUGCCCCCUAAAGUACAUCAAACUGCUCCAAAAUUGCUCCUAAGAGCAGAAAAUGGGACAAAACUACACGAGAUUGUCCCCAAACGACCCCAAAACCAUCCCAAAAAAAGCAAAACGGACAAAACAACUCCCCAGAAAGCAUUAAAAUGGACAGAAAGACCCCAAAACUGCCCCCCUCCCCACCCCAAAGCAUCGAACUGCCCCAAAAUCACCCCCAAAAACUACAGAACUGCCUUAAAAUGCACCCCUUCCCCCCCCCCCCCAUUGUCACCUAUGGCU
rnacentral:lncRNA from 1 species